CUGGGCUGAAUUCACGCCGUUUCGGGAAAAAAUCCGUGGUUUCGGGCAAAAAUCGGCGGUUUUUACCCAAAAAUGGCGUUUUUUUGACCUAAAAAUAGCCUUUUUUGGAGCCUAAAAUGGUGAUUUUUUCACUCCAAAGUGGUAGAUUUUCGAGACAAAUGUGGUAGAUUUUUGAGCCAAAAACAGCGAUUUUUGACCUAAAAAUGGCCAUUUUUGAGCCAAAAAUGGAGUUUUUUGACCCAAAAAUGUCGGGUUUUUGACUCAAAACAGAUGGAAUUUCAGCCAAAAAUGUCGGGUUUUUCACUCAAAAACGGCCAUUUUCUUGAGCCAAAAUUUGAUGGUUUUGAGUAAAGAAAGGCAAUUUUUUCACUUAAAAAUGGCAAUUUUGGAGCCAAAAAUUGUGACUUUUGACCUAAAAAUGGCAUUUUUUGACCUAAAAAUAGCCUUUUUUUGAGCCAAAAAUGGUGAUUUUUUCACUCAAGAGUGAUGGAUUUUUUGACCCUGAAGUGGUGUUUUUUUGAGCCAGAAAUGGCGAUUUUUGAGCUAAAAAUGGAGUUUUUGGAUCAAAAAAUGGCGUUUUUUGGAUUCAAAACAGAUGGAUUUUGUCUCAAAAAAUGGUGGGUUUUUUACUCAAGAAUGGUGGAUUUUGACCCAAAAAUGGAGUUUUUUGACCCAAAAAUGCGGUUUUUUGACUCAAAACCGAUGGAUUUUGAGCCAGAAAUGGCACUUUUUUCACUCAAAAAUGGUGAUUUUUGACCAAAAAUUGAGGCUUUUAAAGCCAAAAAUGGCAGUUUUGUCACUCCAGAAUGGCCACUUUUUGACCCAGAAAUGGUGAUUUUGGAGCCAAAAAUGGUGCCGAUGUGUGGGUACAAAAAUGGCGAUUUUUGACCCAAAAAUGGAAUUUUUAGACCCAAAAUUGGGGUUUUGGGGCAGAACGCGCCCGUGGCCAGCGGCGACUGGGACGAGGAGUUCUGCAGCAGCGAGUGCCUCGUGCGCCACUGCCGGGACGUGUUCCUGGCCUGGCUGGCCGCCCGCAGCAGCGGCAGCAGCGGCAGCGUCGUCUUCGUCAAGUGAAGAAAACCCCAAAGUUUGGGGCCAAUUCCGGCGAUUUUGGGGCUCCCGGGCGCGGAAUAAACGCAGCUGCAGAAAUCCA